UCUUCGUAGCUCAAAUUUGAA
rnacentral:piRNA from 1 species